GUCUCGUUAGCCAGGUGGUAGAGCAACUGACUUUUAAUCAGUGGGUCGUAGGUUCGAGUCCUACACGAGACACCA
rnacentral:tRNA from 1 species